rnacentral:rRNA from 1 species
GCGAGUCGAAUGUAGCAAUACAUGGCGUACUGCUCAGUAACACGUGGAUAACCUGCCCUUGAGACGGGGAUAAACCCGGGAAACUGGGUAUAAUACCCGAUAGAUCUCGGCUGCUGGAAUGCACCGAGUUCUAAAGCUCCGGCGCUCAAGGAUGGAUCUGCGGCCUAUCAGGUAGUAGUGGGUGUAGCGUACCUACUAGCCUACGACGGGUACGGGUUGUGAGAGCAAGAGCCCGGAGAUGGAUUCUGAGACACGAAUCCAGGCCCUACGGGGUGCAGCAGGCGCGAAAACUUUACAAUGCUGGAAACAGCGAUAAGGGGACCUCGAGUGCCAGGUUACAAAUCUGGCCGUCGUGAUGCCUAAAAAGCAUUGCAUAGCAAGGGCCGGGCAAGACCGGUGCCAGCUGCCGCGGUAACACCGGCGGCUCGAGUGGUAACCGUUAUUAUUGGGUCUAAAGGGUCUGUAGCCGGCCGGAUAAGUCUCUUGGGAAAUCUGGCAGCUUAACUGUCAGGCUUUCAGGAGAUACUGUCUGGCUCGAGGCCGGGAGAGGUGAGAGGUACUUCAGGGGUAGGGGUGAAAUCUUGUAAUCCUUGAAGGACCACCAGUGGCGAAGGCGUCUCACCAGAACGGACCUGACGGCAAGGGACGAAAGCUAGGGGCACGAACCGGAUUAGAUACCCGGGUAGUCCUAGCCGUAAACGAUACUCGCUAGGUGUCGGCCACGGUGCGACCGUUGUCGGUGCCGUAGGGAAGCCGUGAAGCGAGCCACCUGGGAAGUACGGCCGCAAGGCUGAAACUUAAAGGAAUUGGCGGGGGAGCACCACAACGGGUGGAGC